rnacentral:rRNA from 1 species
GGAACGAACGCUGGCGGCAUGCUUAACACAUGCAAGUCGAACGAGACCUUCGGGUCUAGUGGCGCACGGGUGCGUAACGCGUGGGAAUCUGCCCUUUGCUACGGAAUAACUCAGAGAAAUUUGUGCUAAUACCGUAUGAUGUCGUAAGACCAAAGAUUUAUCGGCAAAGGAUGAGCCCGCGUAAGAUUAGCUUGUUGGUGAGGUAAAGGCUCACCAAGGCGACGAUCUUUAGCUGGUCUGAGAGGAUGAUCAGCCACACGUGGGACUGGAGA